rnacentral:tRNA from 1 species
AGCCCCGUAGUGUAGCGGUCAAUCAUCCGAGAUUUUGGGUCUUGGGACCUCGGUUCGAAUUGUAGAGAAGGUCGGCAAAAGCCGAGAGGUCUCUUCCCUACACGUGUGUCCGAGCGGGGCUA